GAUGAACGCUAGCUACAGGCUUAACACAUGCAAGUCGAGGGGAAACGGCAUUAAGUGCUUGCACUUUUUGGACGUCGACCGGCGCACGGGUGAGUAACGCGUAUCCAACCUUCCCAUGACUAAGGGAUAACCUGCCGAAAGGCAGACUAAUACCUUAUGGUCUUCACUGACGGCAUCAGAUGUGAAGUAAAGAUUUAUCGGUUAUGGAUGGGGAUGCGUCUGAUUAGCUUGUUGGCGGGGUAACGGCCCACCAAGGCAACGAUCAGUAGGGGUUCUGAGAGGAAGGUCCCCCACAUUGGAACUGAGACACGGUCCAAACUCCUACGGGAGGCAGCAGUGAUGAAUAUUGGGCAAUGGGCGAGAGCCUGAACCAGCCAAGUAGCGUGCAGGAUGACGGCCCUAUGGGUGGUAAACUGCUUUUGUAUGGGGAUAAAGUCAAUCACGUGUGAUUGUUUGCAGGUACCAUACGAAUAAGGACCGGCUAAUUCCGUG
rnacentral:rRNA from 1 species